ensembl:lncRNA
AGGGAGAGAAGGAGAGAGGUAAAGAGGGAGAGAAGGAGAGAGGUAUUGGGAGAGAAGGAGAGAGGUAAAGAGGGAGAGAAGGAGAGAGGUAAAGAGGGAGAGAAGGAGAGGGGUAAAGAGGGAGAGAAGGAGAGAGGUAAAGAGGGAGAGAAGGAGAGAGGUAAAGAGGGAGAGAAGGAGAGGGGUAUUGGGAGAGAAGGAGAGAGGUAAAGAGGGAUAGAAGGAGAGAGUUAAAGAGGGAGAGAAGGAGAGAGGUAAAGAUGGAGAGGAGAGAGGUAAAGAGGGAGAGAAGGAGAGAGGUAAAUAGGGAGAGAAGGAGAAAGGUAAAAAGGGAGAGAAGGAGAGAGUUAAAGAGGGAGAGAAGGAGAGAGGUAAAGAGGGAGAGG